ensembl:lncRNA
CAGCAACACAGCAUGGCAGCAACACAUGACAACACAGCAUGGUAGCAACACAUGACAACACAGCAUGGUAGCAACACAUGACAACACAGGAUGGCAGCAACACGACAUGGCAGCAACACAUGACAACACAGCAUGACAACAACACGACAUGGUAGGAGCACAACAUGGACAAACAUUAUUGGGCACAGACAACGACACAAAGGCAAGAAGGUAGAGACAAAAAUAUAUCACGUGAAGCAGCCACAACUAUCAGUAAGAGUGUCCAUGAUUGAGUCUUUGAAUGAAGAGAUUGUGAUAAAACUGUCCAGUUUGGGUGUUUGUUGCAGCUCGUUCCAGUCGCUAGCUGCAGCGAACUGAAAAGAGGAGCGACCCAGGGAUAUAAAUAUUUAUAAAUAAGCAUCAACCAGUGGGUCUUGUGACGGCUAUACAGAGAUGACCAGUUUACAGAGGAGUAUAGUGUGCAGUGAUGUGUCCUAUAAGGAGCAUUGGUGGCAAAUCUGAUGGCCGAAUGGUAAAGAACAUCUAGCCUCUCGAGAGCACCCUUACCUGCCGAUCUAUACAUUUUGUCUCUGUAAUCUAGCAUGGCUAGGAUUGUAAUCUGAAUCAGGAUUAGUUUGGCAGCUGGGGUGAGAGGAGCGAUUACGAUAGAGGAAACCAAGUCUAGAUUUAACUUUAGCCUGCGGCUUUGAUAUGUGCUGAGAGAAGGACAGUGUACCAUCUAGCCAUACUCCCAACUACUUGUAUGAGGUGACUACCUUAAACUCUAAACCCUCAGAGGUAGAAGCUGUUCUGUGCCGUUUUCCCCCAUGUGGGCCAGCCCCCUAGCAAUUAGAGUUAGGAGUUUGUUGAAUCCUUGUCAAGCUUUUCUUUCUAAAAAAAAAACAAACAAUAAAAUUAUGAAAGUUAUUUCAGAAAAGUUAAGCAAAUUUAGCUGGCUUACUCAAUGAUCCUGCUUGAUCGUAUGCCCUCAGAGUAGUCUUGAGAAACUGGGAGAAAACAGUGCUUGUUACAUUCAACCUCCUUUCCGAACUCUGUUGGGUUAGAUGGUUUGCCUCAGGACAGGAGAUAUUGGUUUAAUGUGUUUAUCACAGUCACUUCUUGUUUGCGUGAACUAAUCGGAUAUUCCCGUCCAUCAAAAUCUGUUGUUGUGUGCGUGAGACACGCUCAAGUCUAAAAUAAUCAACCAGUUUUGUCUCUUAAAACCCCUGAGAGAAAUAGUCCCCAUCCCUUGGAAUAUAGAACACUAGACCCAACAAGCACUGAUAACCUUGGAUCUAGCCUGUAUUAAACCCUGAUACUAAACUUUGCAUAUUAGUUCGUAUACAGAGAUAAUAUACAGAAAUGAUAUAUAGAGAUAACUCAUUACUUUUUGUGUCUGAGUAAAGAAGGGAAACCUAGUGUGUAGGAACUUUGACCUUUGACCUCGUCUGUUGCAGUGGAUCACAUAUUUCAGGGUUCCCCAACUGACAGCCCGGUUCCCCCCAAAGUUUUCAGAGCAAAAUGUUUUUCUAAAAACAAAACGAUUAUUUCCGCUCAAGAAAUAAUCGUCCCGCGACUGAAUCUGGUUGAUGGUCCCUGACAUAUUUAUUAUAAACGUUGACCGCGUCAGUGUUGCAGUAGAUCACAUAUUCAUUAGUAUGUGUCAUGUUGAGCGUUGAGAAGCUAGCUAGCUGUUUUGCCAAGACACUUUAAUCACUUUAAUUUCAGUUUUUAUUAAAAAAUAACUGUUGCAGUUGUUUUAAGCGUGUGUGUGUGUGUACGUACGUGAAAGUCCAUCUCUAACCCAGCCUCUAUUGUCAUUGGCUUUACACAUACUUUCCAUACUCAUCCCUGGUCGAUGAGUGAAACAACAAUGUUUUUUGCCGUUGUGUUAGGAAAUCUAUAUCGGAACUGAAAUGGAUAUGCCAAAUGAAUAACAUAUAUAUUCUUCAAGUCACCCCUCACAGCUUCAACCACGUCCAGUGUCUCUAGGAAGACCUACACGGGUCAGAUAUUUGCCCCUGAGAUGUCUGGGAUAUCCCAGGAUCCCCUUUAAUUUGACCUUUUUUUAAAUGUUCUUUCUUUCUGUCUUCACUUCUGACUGUUAAUUUAAAAAAAUAAAAAAUGUUUUAUACAUGUUCUUGAUUAGUCACAAAAGGCAGUUGUAAAGCAGGUCCCAUUUUACAGCCGUACAACAUGUUCUGUAUUAACACCCAAUUAACGAUGUAAUGAUUCAUUUAAUCAGUCCAUUCAUCUUUGUCUGAUUGAUUGUUUUUAAUGCAGAAAAUUAAUACAUUUUUACAUGAAGACUCACUUGUAUGAAUCACUUUCUGUGGAGGGGAAGGGAGGGAAAAAAAGCUGGUAUUUAAAAAAAAAAAGUUGAAACAGUUGGACUGUUGUGUUGAAACAACCAAUCCAAUCCACAAGCCAUGCAAAUCUACCAUAAGCAAUCAUACGUUAUGAAAUGCAAAGUAGGUAUACUGAUACAUAUACAAACACUAAACUAUCUUCAGUUGAUUUGAUUGACUGACUGACUGGUGGAUGGACUGACUGACUGACUGACUGACUGGUGGAUUGACUGACUGACUGAUUGGUGGAUGGACUGACUUGACUGACUGAUUGGUGGAUUGACUGACUGACUGAUUGGUGGAUGGACUGACUGACUGACUGAUUGGUGGAUUGACUGACUGACUGACUGACUGACUGACUGACUGACUGACUGACUGAUUGGUGGAUUGACUGACUGACUGAUUGGUGGAUGGACUGACUGACUGACUCAGAGCUGAGGGGUACAGUCAAUGGCUGGAUCUGGUGGGGUUACCAUGGUAAACUUUUACAAAUGAAAACGCUAAGACAUUCAAGCAACCGUUUCAAAUUGUAUUGAUUGUUUGAUGUUUUGUGAGUGUGUUCAACUCUUCACGUGCGUGUGUGAGAGAGAGAGAGAGAGAGAGGGGUAGAAGUCGUCUUCUUCAGCAGUCGUCUUCCUCAGCACCUCUUUUCCCCCCUUUACAGCCAUCUCUCUGGAACUGACAGCAAAAUAAUUGUUUUGCCACUCCGUAUGUCUCUCCCAGCGUCCAGCUUUUAAUAAGAUCUCCAAUAUUAUUGUCAUGAGUUCCUGGUAUGUUAACUGUUUGUCAUGUUUACACCAUGUGGCAACUGUUCCAUCUCUGUGACAUCAUGAACUGAUCAUGUAAUCAAUAAUCAUAUGAUGUUUAAGGAGUUAUGGUUGUCGUGUUAUCAUUUUGAUUUAAAGGGAUAUUGCGAGAUUUUUUUUUGGGGGGGGGGGCAAUUGAGCCCUUUAUCAACUUACCCAGAGUCAGAAGCAUGUAAAUAGCAUUUGAAUUAAAAAGGUUAACUUCCUUCGUGCUGAAUGCAGAGACAUGCAAAUGGUAUCCGUUAUCUCAUCUGACUCUGAGGAAGUAGAGAAAAUGAAUUGACAAAAAUCUCGCCUUAUCACGUUUUAGGUUUUAUGUCAUGUCAUCUCUUCUUUCCUACUUUUGCUUCUGCGUUGUGAAAGGAAGGAUAGACUUGCCCAGAGAUGUUAUUAAGUCUCCUGGAAUCUAUGCAAACAUGCAUUAAAUAAUGUAGAAACCAACCAAAUGGGUCUUUAUAAAUACAGACGCCUAUGAAUUAAUCAACUGGAUUGAAUGAAUUACACGCAAAAUGAAGAAUGUUGUAAUAAAUAUUUUUAUAUAAUUAAAAGUUUAAAAAUAAAGUAUAAAAGGGCAUGUUUUUUUUAUUUAUUUUUUAUUAAUUUAUAAAUGUUUGACCUGUCAAUAUGGAUUGUGUCUAGUGUAUAAGAAUAUUUGGAAGAUAAAUACACAACGCAGAGACAGAGGACUAAAAGUUGAUGGAGUACUAGCGAUCAAUGGAAAUAGGGGAUUAAUGCAGAGACAUGGGAGGAAUUUGUCUAUAUAUUGAGUCUGAAAUAGGAUACAUUGUUAUUUGGCCACUGGCUCAGUUUUAUUGCAAGGAAUUCUAAUUGGUCAACCGCAGGCUAGGGCUGGGUUAAAAAACUACACGCUGUCCCUUUGUUCUGUGUAGAGAAUCACUGAGGACAGGGAAGGAACUGUUCGAUGGAGAGAAUCACUGAGGACAGGGAAGGAACCGUUCGAUGGAGAGAAUCACUGAGGACAAGGAAGGAACCGUUCGAUGGAGAGAAUCACUGAGGACAGGGAAGGAACCGUUCGGUGGAGAGAAUCACUGAGGACAGGGAAGGAACCGUUCGAUGGAGAGAAUCACUGAGGACAAGGAAGGAACGACCAUCUACCUCUCAGCGUAACAUCUAUGAUUUAUCCUCUUUUGAAUAAACCUGUUUUCCAC